rnacentral:rRNA from 1 species
AUUGAACGCUAGCGGGAUGCUUUACACAUGCAAGUCGAACGAGUGGCGGACGGGUGAGUAAUAUAUCGGAAGUGCCCAGUAGCGGGGGAUAACUACUCGAAAGAGUGGCUAAUACCGCAUACUAUCGGAUAACCCAUAUGGGAUUAGCUAGUAGUGGAGGUAAGGGCUCACCUAGGCGACGAUCCCUAGCUGGUCCGAGAGGAUGAUCAGCCACACUGAGACUGAGACAAGUCCCAGACACCUACGGAGAAAGCAGUGGGGAAUAUUGCACAAUGGGCGCAAGCCUGAUGCAGCCAUGCCGCGUGUAUGAAGAAGGCCCUAGGGUUGUAAAGUACUUUCAGUCGGGAGGCGUUACCGACAGAAGAAGCACCGGCUAACUCCGUGCCAGCAGCCGCGGUAAUAC